ensembl:lncRNA
AUGACNGGGUCAGUGGGGUCAUGGGUCACAUGGGUCACGGGGUCACAGGGUCAUGGGGUCACGGGUCAUUGGGGUCAAAGGGGUCACGGGGGUCACAGGGUCAUGGGUCACAGGGGUCACGGGGUCAUGGGGUCACGGGUCAUUGGGGUCAAAGGGGUCACGGGGGUCACAGGGGUCAUGGGUCACAGGGGGCACAAGGGGCACAGGGGGCACAGGUCACAGGGUCACAGGGUCAGUGGGGUCACGGGGUCACAGGGGUCACCAGUCACAGGUCACAGGGUCACGGGGUCAUGGGGGUCACAAGGUCAGUGGGGUCAUGGGUCACAGGGGGCACAGGUCAUGGGGGUCAGCGGGGUCACAGGUCACAGGGGUCACAGGGUCCGUGGGGUCAUGGGGUCGUGGGGCCAUGGGGGUCAGUGGGGUAGGUCCGUGGGGUCAGCGGGGUCACAGAGGUCACUGGUGUCACUGGGGUCAACGGGGUCACAGGUCACAGGGGUCACAGGGUCAGCGGGGUUGGUCCGUGGGGUCACCGGGGUCACAGGGCUCAUAGGGUCAGUGGGGUCACUGGGGUCAGUGGGGUCAGUGGGGUCAUGGGACAGUGGGGUCAGAGGUC